CAGGCUUAACACAUGCAAGUCGAGGGGCAUCAGGAAGAAAGCUUGCUUUCUUUGCCGGCGACCGGCGCACGGGUGAGUAACACGUAUCCAACCUGCCCUUUACUCGGGGAUAGCCUUUCGAAAGAAAGAUUAAUACCCGAUAGCAUAAUGAUUCCGCAUGGUUUCAUUAUUAAAGGAUUCCGGUAAAGGAUGGGGAUGCGUUCCAUUAGGUUGUUGGUGAGGUAACGGCCCACCAAGCCUUCGAUGGAUAGGGGUUCUGAGAGGAAGGUCCCCCACAUUGGAACUGAGACACGGUCCAAACUCCUACGGAAGGCAGCAGUGAGGAAUAUUGGUCAAUGGGCGCUAGCCUGAACCAGCCAAGUAGCGUGAAGGAUGAAGGCUCUAUGGGUCGUAAACUUCUUUUAUAUAAGAAUAAAGUGCAGUAUGUAUACUGUUUUGUAUGUAUUAUAUGAAUAAGGAUCGGCUAACUCCGCGCCAGCAGCCGCGGUAAUACGGAGGAUCCGAGCGUUAUCCGGAUUUAUUGGGUUUAAAGGGAGCGUAGGUGGACUGGUAAGUCAGUUGUGAAAGUUUGCAGCUCAACCGUAAAAUUGCAGUUGAUACUGUCAGUCUUGAGUACAGUAGAGGUGGGCGGAAUUCGUGGUGUAGCGGUGAAAUGCUUAGAUAUCACGAAGAACUCCGAUUGCGAAGGCAGCUCACUGGACUGCAACUGACACUGAUGCUCGAAAGUGUGGGUAUCAAACAGGAUUAGAUACCCUGGUAGUCCACACAGUAAACGAUGAAUACUCGCUGUUUGCGAUAUACAGUAAGCGGCCAAGCGAAAGCAUUAAGUAUUCCACCUGGGGAGUACGCCGGCAACGGUGAAACUCAAAGGAAUUGACGGGGGCCCGCACAAGCGGAGGAACAUGUGGUUUAAUUCGAUGAUACGCGAGGAACCUUACCCGGGCUUAAAUUGCAGUGGAAUGAUGUGGAAACAUGUCAGUGAGCAAUCACCGCUGUGAAGGUGCUGCAUGGUUGUCGUCAGCUCGUGCCGUGAGGUGUCGGCUUAAGUGCCAUAACGAGCGCAACCCUUAUCUUCAGUUACUAACAGGUCAUGCUGAGGACUCUGGAGAGACUGCCGUCGUAAGAUGUGAGGAAGGUGGGGAUGACGUCAAAUCAGCACGGCCCUUACGUCCGGGGCUACACACGUGUUACAAUGGGGGGUACAGAAGGCAGCUAGCGGGUGACCGUAUGCUAAUCCCAAAAUCCUCUCUCAGUUCGGAUCGAAGUCUGCAACCCGACUUCGUGAAGCUGGAUUCGCUAGUAAUCGCGCAUCAGCCACGGCGCGGUGAAUACGUUCCCGGGCCUUGUACACACCGCCCGUCAAGCCAUGGGAGCCGGGGGUACCUGAAGUACGUAACCGCAAGGAUCGUCCUAGGGUAAAACUGGUGACUGGGGC
rnacentral:rRNA from 1 species